GUCUUUACGAUAAAAACCCCCAAGUGGGCUCACUCUGGGCAGUGUGAUUCCAGAGAGCCUGCAGUGCACGAAAGGGUCUGCCACCCUACAUUGCUCUCUGUGACUUCCCAGGGACUGAGUCUUCACGGUCUCCUUUGGCGAAAAUACCACGAUGCCUGUUCAGAGAGGAAGGAAGAGAUCCCUAGAUGGAAGAGAUCAAAAGAAUCUUUGGUUUAUUUGUGGUACCUGGCUCAUUAAGAAGACCACUCGUCAUUUUAAAACCAAAUUGAGUUUAAAUACAUUUCCUUGACACAUCUGUUUUGUUAAAUGUAUCCCACGAAACCAACAUUAAAAGCCAAUGCCAUUAAGAGGGCAUAAGAUUCUAAAAUUCCAAGAAUUAUCAUGGGAGCUAUAUGACAUCUUUUUAAGAGUAAGGGAAAUCUUCAGAGCCAAAAUGGAUCUGGUCCAAUCCCUUGAUUUUACCGAUGAGGCCUAGACGCAAACUCAUCCCCAAAAAGACAUCUGGAGGCUGAAACACCAAACUGAUAUGUUGCAUCAAUGAUCGUGUUCAUGGCUAUUUCAAAAUGAGAUGACAAAGAGAAGUUUAAGAACACAUUUGGAGAGUAAAAUCUAUUGCUAUCUAAGGCUUUUAGUAAAUAAGUAAACACCCAGCCCUGAAAUUACGGUUCAGUGUGGGAUGAAGGAUGGAAAAAGGAAAGGGAAGGAAUUCUGUCUGACAUGUGCUGCAAAGGUCUGAAACUUGAACCUGAGACACUCAGCUUUCUUUGGAGAGAGAGACUCCCCAUUGCUAAUGCUGAGACCCAUGACCGGAGUUACAUUUACCAAAGAAGGUCUGCUCGCGGGGGUUUUCAAACGUGGAAUGGAACUGCCUUCCCUUUACCUCAUCCUCUUCAUUUCCUACUCUCCUCUCUUCCGAAAAUAAUUGGUCGUGUAGAAGAUUCGAAAUUGACACUAUUUUCCACAGUAAACCUGAAUGAAACCUUGGCUGUUUCUAACACUAACUUCCUGGGAAAAUGCCAACGAAAUGGAGAAGUUCUUCUGCCCAAAGAUACACUUGGCACUGAAUCGUGUUCUCGAAAGGAGAAUGCUUUGUCACAUCUCCUACACUUCUGCCAUGUGGGAGAGAACAGCCUUCUGAUUUAAACUGCCUUUGGGUAAAAUUACUCUAAGAGAGCACGCUGUACCCUCUAUGCCACUGGACUUGUGAGAGGCUCUAGCAUUGCAGCCUUAAGACCGUGGCAUCGCCAGCUGAGAUCAAAGCAAGGUGAUGGAGGCACCGACCAGUGAAGAAAAUGCCAGAGUGUGUUCCAUAACCAGCACACUACUGACAUGGGAGAGGCAGCCCUUAGAGAUGAAACAAAAAGAGAGGAGGAGGUGGUGCUCCCUACUUAUUAGUUGUGUGACCACAUGCCAGCUACUUAACCUCUCUGAGCCUAAAUUUCCUAACCUAUAAAAUGGCAAUAAUGACAGUACCUACUUCAUAAAAUGAUCAUGAGGAAUAAAAGAAUGAAUGUAAAACUUA